rnacentral:rRNA from 1 species
UACGGAGGGUGCAAGCGUUAUCCGGAUUCACUGGGUUUAAAGGGAGCGUAGGUGGCUUUGUAAGUCAGUGGUGAAAUAUUGCGGCUCAACCGCAAAACUGCCAUUGAUACUGCUUAGCUUGAAUCACGUCGAGGUGGAUGGAAUAAUACAUGUAGCGGUGAAAUGCUUAGAUAUGUAUUAGAACACCGAUUGCGAAGGCAGUUCACUAGGCGUGUGAUUGACACUGAGGCUCGAAAGCGU